GGAAUGUGGUCCUCGGCGCAGUCCAGUGCCGGCGGAGGAAGCUUGGGCUCUCAGACAAAUCUGCAAGGUUUCGUGCAGGAUGAAGGUGCAAUCUCCGGCAGCGUGGGAGCCGAUGCUCAUUAUCAAAGUGACGCCUAUUUGGUGCCGUGUCCGAUGCCUUAUCCUUCGUGUGGAAGUUGUACGAGGUGUUAGACACGCUCGUCUUUUGUUUUCUAUUUCUGUUUGAUGCUUCCUGUCAGUGUUUGGUUUGAUGAAUCAAAUUAAAAUGAA